GAUGAACGCUGGCGGCGUGCUUAACACAUGCAAGUCGAACGGAAAGGCCUCAGCUUGCUGGGGUACUCGAGUGGCGAACGGGUGAGUAACACGUGGGUGAUCUGCCCUGCACUUUGGGAUAAGCUUGGGAAACUGGGUCUAAUACCGAAUAUGACCACUUCUUGGAUGUUGUGGUGGAAAGCUUUUGCGGUGUGGGAUGAGCCUGCGGCCUAUCAGCUUGUUGGUGGGGUAAUGGCCUACCAAGGCGGCGACGGGUAUCCGGCCUGAGAGGGUGUACGGAAACAUUGGGACUGAGAUACGGCCCAGACUCCUACGGGAGGCAGCAGUGGGGAAUAUUGCACAAUGGGCGCAAGCCUGAUGCAGCGACGCCGCGUGGGGGAUGAAGGCCUUCGGGUUGUAAACUCCUUUCGCUAUCGACGAAGCCUUUUAGGUGACGGUAAGUAGAUAAGAAGCACCGGCUAACUACGUGCCAGCAGCCGCCAUAA
rnacentral:rRNA from 1 species